rnacentral:lncRNA from 1 species
GUACUUUAAAAUCGCGUGCAUGUUAAUCUAAUUUUUCAAACUUCCCCUUAUCUGCAACCUCACCCAUAUACAGUACCAUGACUACAGUCAAGUGUAUAGAAAAUUCUCUAAUUAAUAAAGCUGUGAAUGAAGUCAUCAUAAUUAUAAUGCAGAAAAGAUAAGCUAUGACAUGUUAACUACACAGCGCCGCGAUAACAACAGAUGGUCACCAAAAUAGAAGACAUCCACGAUAUUUUUAACACGGGGGGGGAGCGCUUGUUCGGAGCAGUGAAACUUAUCUGUUUAAGAAAUAUAGAACGCGCCCUCAAUGAUACUGCAUUGCAUUUUUCUUGUUCCUAGGCUAAUACUUUCGCAAACAUAGAAUUUUCACAUGACCCUUGUACUGGGCCUCUAUAGGCAGGGACGCCGGAACUGGGGGGCAGGAGGGGCAGCCGCCCCCGUUGCCCUUUACCAGGAGGGGCAAGGGGGGCAAAGGUGCCCUUUCAAUUUAAAGGAUUGCCUUGGCGAAAUAGCGAAUUGUCAGAAAUGUUAGUGCGAUUCUUUACGAGUUUGCUUCAGAAAACGCAAGAAAUGCAGUCAUCGAGCUUCAAGAAUACCACAAUCGCCUGGUGGAGAACCCCCUCACACCCCUAUCAUCCAUAAGUAGAAACCAUUAUUAGGCGAAGUUCAACUUCCCAUGUUUUGCAAAAAUCUCUUAGUAUAUAUCAAUUCAAAAGUGCCCUUUCACGAAAAUCUGCCCCCCUUGCCUUCACAUCGUUCCGGCGUCCCUGUCUAUAGGAAGAUCAGUUUAAACCAAAUCUAACAAUCCAGUAUAAAUACAGUUCAUUACGCAUACGUUUCCUCCUUAACUGGACCGAUUGGAGAUGAUCCUUACUGCACCUCCAGGGAGAACAGUUUAGAACUGAUAGAGCGCUAUCCAGUAUAAAUAAAGUUAGUUUAGUUUAGGUUCCCUCCUGUAGUAACACUGGGUCAAUAAGAGAUAUCCUUACUGGACCUCUAGGAAGAACAGUUUAGAACUGAUAGAGCUAUCCAGUAUAAAUAAAGUUAGUUUAGUUUAGGUUUCCUCCUGUAGUAACACUGGAUCAAUAAAAGAUGAUCCUUACUGGACCUCUAGGAAGAACAGUUUAGAACUGAUAUAGAGCUAUCCAGUAUAAAUAAAGUUAGUUUAGUUUAGGUUUCCUCCUGUAGUAACACUGGAUCAAUAAAAGAUGAUCCUUACUGGAC